AAAGGUUUAGUUAAAAUAAUAACAUUAACUUGUCAAGUUAAAAUUACCCAAAAGUACCCUUUAA
rnacentral:tRNA from 1 species